UGGGGAAUAUUGCACAAUGGGCGCAAGCCUGAUGCAGCCAUGCCGCGUGUGUGAAGAAGGCCUUCGGGUUGUAAAGCACUUUCAGCGAGGAGGAAGGUGGUGGACUUAAUACGUUCAUCAAUUGACGUUACUCGCAGAAGAAGCACCGGCUAACUCCGUGCCAGCAGCCGCGGUAAUACGGAGGGUGCAAGCGUUAAUCGGAAUUACUGGGCGUAAAGCGCACGCAGGCGGUUUGUUAAGUCAGAUGUGAAAUCCCCGGGCUCAACCUGGGAACUGCAUUUGAAACUGGCAAGCUAGAGUCUCGUAGAGGGGGGUAGAAUUCCAGGUGUAGCGGUGAAAUGCGUAGAGAUCUGGAGGAAUACCGGUGGCGAAGGCGGCCCCCUGGACGAAGACUGACGCUCAGGUGCGAAAGCGUGGGGAGCAAACAGAUUAGAUACCCUGGUAGUCCACGCUGU
rnacentral:rRNA from 1 species